rnacentral:lncRNA from 1 species
UGAUUACACCGAAGACCCAGGAAACAGGAUUCUCUCAUCUGGAUUUCCUUGAGGUGUACAGGGCUAGAAGGGAGUAGUCUAUUGAAACAUCAUUGCAGAUCCAGUUAGAGCCAAGGGGUGAGUGCAGGCUGAGCUAGAGCCUUCAUUUGGAAGGUAGUGGUAUUUGUGAGCACCAUACGAGGUAAUAUAUAGAAAACUGCACUAAAGCAUCCACACUGCAGUCCGGGACCUUAUUCUCAUAUUUAAAUAUCUAACAACUAUGUUGUGAAGGGAAGAAGGCUCCAUGGUUUACAAAAUGGAGGAUCUGGACCAAGAAGGGAAAUAUGGCAGAGGCAGGCAGUUAUCUGCAUAUGAGGGAUAUGUUCUCC